AUGAAGAGUCUGUUGUAUUCAUACCCAGGACAUUUGCUGGAAAGACCAAUGAAUGACUGGCUAGGAAGAAGGUUGCUGGAAAAUAAGGACACUAUCACAGAAUGUUUAAGGGCACCUUACUACCUCCAAAUUGAGUUGGUAGGACAAUAUCUCAAAAUGUCAGAGGUAUCCAAACAACAACCAGCUGAAGUAAUCACCUCUUGUCUGAUGGAGACUUGUUGGCACAGAUAACCUCUCUACAUGCAGAAUAUUUCAAUAAAUUGUAUGGAAUCCAGUACA
rnacentral:lncRNA from 1 species